CGUUUUCAAGCUUCCUUUUCUUCAUCAAACAUCAUCACAAGCAUUCUGGACUGGAUCUGGAUCAUUUGGAGCAUUGGAUCGUGCAUUGCAAGGAACUGCUCUUCAAGAGGUGAGUUUUUCGAGCUCCAUAAUUCUCAAAUUCAUGCACAUGUUCAUGUAGAUCUUGUGUUCCUAAUGAUUCUGGUGAAAAUUUCAUGUGAAAUAGUGCAUUAUUGAGCAAGAUAUGUGUGAUUCAAGUUUG
rnacentral:lncRNA from 1 species